AGCUUAUCCGUGAUGUAUAAAAAAUAAAUGUCUGAACUUAUGAGUCAAUUUGUGAUUCAGAUUUCUAACUGAGAUAAGCA
rnacentral:snoRNA from 1 species